rnacentral:rRNA from 1 species
CUAGCGACUUUCAGAGUUUGAUCCUGGCUCAGGAUGAACGCUGGCGGCGUGCUAACACAUGCAAGUCGAGCGGAGUUUUAGAAAAGCUUGCUUUUUCGAAGAACUUAGCGGCGGACGGGUGAGGAACACGUGGGUAAUCUGCCCUAUGCAGAGGGAUAACAACGAGAAAUCGUUGCUAAUACCACAUAAACUCUUAGUAUGGCAUCAUACAUAGAGAAAAGAUUUAUCGGCAUAGGAGGGGCCCGCGGCUGAUUAGCUAGUUGGAGAGGUAACGGCUCACCAAGGCGACGAUCAGUAGCCGACCUGAGAGGGUGAUCGGCCACAUUGGAACUGAGACACGGUCCAA